UACGUAGGGUGCAAGCGUUAAUCGGAAUUACUGGGCGUAAAGCGUGCGCAGGCGGUUUUGUAAGUCUGACGUGAAAUCCCCGGGCUUAACCUGGGAAUUGCAUUUGUGACUGCACGGCUAGAGUGUGUCAGAGGGGGGUAGAAUUCCACGUGUAGCAGUGAAAUGCGUAGAGAUGUGGAGGAAUACCGAUGGCGAAGGCAGCCCCCUGGGAUAACACUGACGCUCAUGCACGAAAGCGUGGGGAGCAAACAGG
rnacentral:rRNA from 1 species